UACGGAGGGUGCGAGCGUUGUCCGGAAUCACUGGGCGUAAAGGGCGCGUAGGCGGCCGUGUAAGUCACCUGUGAAAUCCCGGGGCUCAACUCCGGGGCUGCAGGUGAGACUGCGUGGCUAGAGCACGGUAGAGGCGAGUGGAAUUCCCGGUGUAGCGGUGGAAUGCGUAGAUAUCGGGAAGAACACCGGUGGCGAAGGCAAUCCCCUGGGCCUGCACUGACGGCUCAUGCACGAAAGCGUGGGGAGCAAACAGG
rnacentral:rRNA from 1 species